rnacentral:SRP_RNA from 2 species
GCUGGGUGUGGUGGUGCACGCCUGUAAUCCCAGCUACUCAGGAGGCUGAGGCAGGGGAAUCGCUUGAACCCAGGAGGCAGAGGUUGCAGUGAGCUGAGAUGGUGCCAUUGCGCUCCAGCCUGGGCCACAGGGCGAGACUCUGUCUCAA